rnacentral:lncRNA from 10 species
UACAGAAGGACACAUACCAUAGUUUUAUGUUUGCUUAACAGUAAGUUUUGAGGCUUACACUAAGAAAACACUAUAGAACUUAUUCUAGUGUCUCAUUCUUGCAUUUGUGAGUCUGUGUGUGUGAGAGGGUGAGCGAGAAAGAAGAAACACUAUGGUAUUCCUCCAGAGACUGAAGAUAAAGAUCACUGUCAUCGAGAUUGUGGCCCAGUAGCUCUGUAGGCUUUACAGGAAGCAUGGUUCUGGCACUUGCUUGGUUUCUGGGGAGGCCUCGGGAAGCUUACAAUUGUGGCAGAAGGUGAAGAGGGAGCAGGCACAUCACAUGGCAAAAGCAGAAGCAAAGGAGCAAGUGAGUGGUGGGGUAAGUGCCACACAUAUUUAAAAGACGGGAUCUCAUGAGAACUCACGCACUAUCGCAAAGACAGCACGAAGCCAUGAGGAAUCCGCACCCAUGGCACAAACACCUCCCAUCAGACCCUGUCUCCAGCAUCGAAGAUUACAGUUCAACAUGAGAUUUAGGUAAAGACAGCUAUCCAAACUAUGUCAUAUUCCAUCUUUUUAAGUUCCAUUCAGUUUUCAGGUUUACAAAGCCUAUCUUGCAUGCUUAUUCUCUAGGAAGGGAAUAAUUUCACAAAAGAGGAACCAAAAUUUAGCCUCAUGGUCAGAAAAAUAUAAAGUGUAAAACUAUUUUUUACUUUAAAUGUAACAGAUUUUUUACCUGUUAACUCUUCAAAAGCUGAGAGUGAUAUUUCUAUAUGUAUUGAACAUGGAAAUUUGUAUUCACAGUGUGUCCAGCUGGACAGGAUUUGCAGAGAAAAUUAUGCUCUAUUUAAUCAAAUAUAUCUUGAAUUCGGAUUCUAUCAUUCAACAUCUUUAGAAUUCAUUCCAAGUUUGUAUGCAGUUAGAACUCCUUCUGAAUUGACGGCAAGUCUUGUGAAACUUUUUACUAACCUACCUAAUUUUAUUAGAAUUGAUCUCAUGUCUUUUCCACAGAGUAAUCAUUAGAAACACUAUCAAAUAUCUUUUGUAGGUCCUGGGAAUGAGCCAAGUAUUCCUGUCAAAGAAAGAAAUACCAUAUUUGACAAAAUUAUUCUCAGAUUUCUUCCAGCAGGUAGAAGCUAACUUUAGAUAUUUGUUACUAAUUAUAUUUAUUUGCAUCCCUUCUUUCUAUAAAAAUUGCUUGAAAUUGUAGCUAGCUUUAACAUUGAGUAUUUAACUAAUUUAUCUGAUAAUCUUUGAGGAUGGCGUGUGGUGGUUUAAACAACAACAAAAAUCCACAACCUUUUGAAACUCUCUCCCUUGAGAGCUGGAGGUCCACCCCCCAUCCUUGAAUCUAAGUGGGCUGGUGCUUGCUUCAACAAAUAAAAUGCCGCAGAAGUCACAUAAGUUCCCUGAGGGUGUUUAAAGGGCCAUGUAACUUCCUUCUAGUUCUCUUGGCACACUCACUAUGAGGGGAGUCAAGGAUCAUGGAACAAGUCCAGCUACUCUGGGAUUGACAAGUUUUGGGUGGUCUGGUGGAGAACCCCCCUCGAAGCCAAACAUCUUGGCCAUCCCUACCAAGGUGUCUGACAUGUGAGUGGAGCGACUGUGGGCCUUCCAGUUCAUCCCACCCACCAGCUAAGUACGGCUGAAUGGCCCAGUUGAGGCAUAAGCAGAAGACUCACCCCAGUCCCUGCAGCACACAAUCCAUGUGAUAUUACAAACAUGCAUAUUGCUUGAAGCUACCUAAGUCUUCUUCUUUUUUUUUUUUUUUUUGUGACACAGAGUCUCUCUCUGUCACCCAGGCUGGAGUGCAAAGGUGCGAUCUUGGCUCACUGCAACCUCCACCUCCCAGGUUCAAGCCAUUCUCCUGCUUCAGCCUCCCGAGUAGGUGGGAUUACAGGUGCCUGCCACCAUGCCCAGCUAAAUUUUUGUUUUUUUAGUAGAGACGGGGUUUCACUAUGUUGGACAGGUUGGUCUCAAACUCCUGAUCUCGUGAUCUGCCUGCCUCGGCCUCCCAAAAGUGCUAGGAUUACAGGCGUGAGCCACCGUGCCCGUCCUUAAGCUACUAAGUCUUGCAGGUAAUUUGGUUUAUAGCAAUAGUAACUGGAAAAGGGAGAAUGCCUUUUUUUCUUGUUUUAAAAUAAUAAAUGCAGCACUGAACAAUUUGGAGGCAGAAGGCAAGUACUAUUAAUUGAUAAAUGGUUUUCUUCCAUCUAAAUAAUUUUUUAUAUGAUGUCACUCUAACAAUUCUUCAUUUUUAUUUUCAUAAAAUGUUUUGAGAACUGAAAAUUAUACUCAAAAGAACUUUGUAUUUAUCUUACAAAGCAUUAUCUCAAAAGCAGAAUUCUUUCAAUUUUAUGGAUUUAAUAACUCAAAUAUAAAUAAUUUCUGACUUGGAAAUCCUGUGUGAAAUGAAUAAAUAUUAACUGUGAAGUUACACUUAUGAAUACUUUAAUUGGUAAGAUUUAUCAAUCUCAUAGAGUUGAUCAAAUUGAGAUUUCAGAGACUGUUUGCCAAGAAAUUGGAAUUUUCUGUAUUCCUAUAUUAGGUGAGUCAUCUUAAAAGGAAAUUGAGUCACCUAAUCAAAUUCUCAGCGUUAUCGCCUGGCAACUGAGAUACUUCCAACAGAUAAAUAAAAUGUGACAGGCUGUUUUUUAAUGCCUACUGAUAAACUUCGUAGACCAUUGAGAUAACAGAGCAGUCUGUGUACCUGCUAACAGUUUAAUUUAAACCAAAUAAAGUUAGAGAAACAAUAAUUUAUAAUUUACCAAAAGCUUAUUAUUCCUUCCUUCUAUGAGCCAGUUUAGUUACUGGUUAGAAUAAAACAUCUGCAUGCUAGAGUUUGGAACCCAGAGUGUUCAGCAUGACUCUAUCAUACUGAGUCAACCUUCUCAGUUAUCUAUGAGACCAUCAAUGCUCAAUUGCUCCAGCAAUCGCUCCUUCUCCUGAAAUUUAAUAUUUUCCCUCUUUCCUGGAUUAUUCUCAUCAGCAUACAAUACCUGAAAAUUUCUAUUAUGAAAACAAACAUUGUGCCUUUUUUUUUGGCCAUGUCUCCAUUUGUCUACUUUCCACUUUCCACUUGGCUGUUCCCUCUUCAAGCCAUACUCUCUGUCUCCAGCUUCUCCAUUUGUCUACUUUCCACUUUCCACUUGGCUGUUCCCUCUUCAAGCCAUACUCUCUGUCUCCAGCUUCUUUCCUCCUGUUCUCUUUGAGGACACUGCAAUCAGCUGGAUAUGCUUUCCACUCCACUGAAACCAUCGGCAGGGGCACCAGUGACCUUCAUGUGGCUAAAAUCAGUGAUCAAUUCUCAGCCCUCAAAUUACAAAUUACUCUUUCAUAUCAGCAGCAUCUGAUGCAGUUAAUUGAUCUCUUCUAUUAAAUCAUUUUCAAACUUGCCUUUCUGGAAUCCACGACCCCGUGGUUUUCCUCUUACCUUAUUGGCUACCUAGCGUUCUCAUCUUACUUGCUUGUUUAUCUUUUUCCCCUAACUCCUAAAUGUACUAUUUGUGUCCUCCGACAUCUUCCUUCCUGCAUUGUUACUUCCUGGAUGAUCUCUUCCAACCUCAUCCCUUCUAAUAUGACUUCUAUAUUUAUGAAUCCCAAAAUGUGCACCUGAAAACUGAAUCCUAUCCAUGAGCUCCACAGUCGCAUAUCCAGUUUCUUACCUUGAUUUUUCCUUGAUGUUACAAAAAAGUCUCCAUCUUUAAAUGGACAAAACAUAAACUUUGACCCUCUUCCCUUUCUUCUUCUCAAUCAUGUAUAAUAAUAACUUGCAUUUUAUUGAAAAUCAUUUAUUUAUACACAGAAGUGGGAACCUGCAAAGACCUAAUGACUUUUACCUUCUAAAUCCCAGUGAUUUAUUCUACCAACAAUUAUAACUUUAUAUGUAACCCCCAGUUUUCCUCUGUUUAUAUAAAAAAUAAUUUUUUCCAGUCUAAACAAU